UACGAAGGGUGCAAGCGUUACUCGGAAUUACUGGGCGUAAAGCGUGCGUAGGUGGUUUGUUAAGUCUGCUGUGAAAGCCCCGGGCUCAACCUGGGAAUGGCAGUGGAUACUGGCAAGCUAGAGUGCGGUAGAGGGGUGUGGAAUUCCCGGUGUAGCGGUGAAAUGCGUAGAGAUCGGGAGGAAGGCCGGUGGCGAAGGCGGCGCUCUGGAACGGCCCUGACACUGAGGCUCGAAAGCGUGGGGAGCAAACAGG
rnacentral:rRNA from 1 species